GAUGAACGCUGGCGGCGUGCCUAAUACAUGCAAGUCGAGCGAACAGACGAGGAGCUUGCUCCUCUGACGUUAGCGGCGGACGGGUGAGUAACACGUGGAUAACCUACCUAUAAGACUGGGAUAACUUCGGGAAACCGGAGCUAAUACCGGAUAACAUGUUGAACCGCAUGGUUCAACAGUGAAAGACGGUUUUGCUGUCACUUAUAGAUGGAUCCGCGUCGCAUUAGCUAGUUGGUAAGGUAACGGCUUACCAAGGCAACGAUGCGUAGCCGACCUGAGAGGGUGAUCGGCCACACUAGAACUGAGACACGGUCCAGACUCCUACGGGAGGCAGCAGUAGGGAAUCUUCCGCAAUGGGCGAAAGCCUGACGGAGCAACGCCGCGUGAGUGAAGAAGGUCUUCGGAUCGUAAAACUCUGUUAUUAGGGAAGAACAAAUGUGUAAGUAACUAUGCACGUCUUGACGGUACCUAAUCAGAAAGCCACGGCUAACUACGUG
rnacentral:rRNA from 1 species